rnacentral:rRNA from 1 species
UACGUAGGUGGCAAGCGUUGUCCGGAUUUAUUGGGUUUAAAGGGUGCGUAGGCGGUUUUUUAAGUCAGUGGUGAAAUACUUCAGCUUAACUGGAGAGGUGCCAUUGAUACUGGGAAACUUGAGUACUGAUGAGGUAGGCGGAAUUGACGGUGUAGCGGUGAAAUGCUUAGAUAUCGUCCAGAACACCGAUAGCGAAGGCAGCUUACUAAGGAGUAACUGACGCUGAGGCACGAAAGUGUGGGGAUCAAACAGG